ACUUAUAGUAUGUUGUGAUGAAAACGGCUUUGUGCUGAACAUGCACGACUUUUGCAAAUAUUUCUUUACUUAAUUAUUUUAAGGAUUAUGGUUUUCACUCUCCUGUAUCGUUAUCUCAUGUUGUACCAAAACUUUCAAAUGUUGGAAGAGAUUUACUGCAGAAAUUACUCGUUUUCAACCCUUCAAUGCGAAUGGCCGCCGAUGUUGCAAUGAACCAUCAGUACUUUAACGAUGUGAAUCCUUCAGUCAAAAAUUCAAUAUAAAAAUAUGCACUGAUGCAUGUUAGCUGGUUUACGCCAUCCUAGGAGUGAAAAAGUUAAAAUCGUAAACUCAGUCCAAAACAAUCCAAAUGAGCUCUUUUAAGCAA